rnacentral:lncRNA from 1 species
AUGACCUUUCCGAGGUUAGCCUGUUGGAGGUAGAGCCAGGAAGCUGAACACUAUCGGCAGGGAGGACAUCAAGAUGCCAUGUUGCCUCUCAAGUUCUUCCCCUUCCAGGAAGAGGAUCCUUACCACAUCGGCCCUUGGGUGGCUGGCUGUUGUGGAUGCUGUGGUGGGCUUUGCUCUCAUCAGUACUGAAGCACUUGCUUCCCCAGUGUCUGGGAGUGUUGCUCACUUUGGCUCUUAGUUAAGUUCUUCUUUGGAAUUUGCCUUUUUUGUAUAAUGG